rnacentral:rRNA from 1 species
UACGUAGGGGGCAAGCGUUGUCCGGAUUUAUUGGGCGUAAAGAGCGUGUAGGCGGCCAUACAGGUCAGCUGUGAAAACUCGAGGCUCAACCUCGAGACGUCGGUUGAAACCGUAUGGCUAGAGUCCGGAAGAGGAGAGUGGAAUUCCCGGUGUAGCGGUGAAAUGCGCAGAUAUCGGGAGGAACAUCAGUUGCGAAGGCGGCUCUCUGGACCAGCACUGACACUGAGGCACGAAAGCGUGGGGAGCGAACAAGG